CCUACGGGUGGCAGCAGUGAGGAAUAUUGGUCAAUGGACGGAAGCCUGAACCAGCCAUGCCGCGUGCAGGAUGACGGCUCUAUGAGUUGUAAACUGCUUUUGUACGAGAAUAAUACUUCUUACGUGUAGGGAUUUGGAUGUAUCGUACGAAUAAGGCACGGGUUACUCCGGGCCCGCCGGCGCUGUAAUACCGAGGAUUCGAGCGUUAUCCUGAAUUAUUGGGGUUAAAGGGUGCGGAGGCUGUCGUGUAAGGUAGAGGGUAAAUGUUCAGGGUUAAACCCGGUCCUGCCGUCGAUACUGUUCGACUAGAGAGCGCAUGCAGCAUGCGGAAUGAGUAGUGUAGCGGUGAAAUGCUUAGAUAUGACGCAGAACACCGAUUGCGAAGGCAGCAUGC
rnacentral:rRNA from 1 species